rnacentral:rRNA from 1 species
UACGAAGGGGGCUAGCGUUGCUCGGAAUCACUGGGCGUAAAGGGUGCGUAGGCGGGUCUUUAAGUCAGAGGUGAAAUCCUGGAGCUCAACUCCAGAACUGCCUUUGAUACUGAAGAUCUUGAGUUCGGGAGAGGUGAGUGGAACUGCGAGUGUAGAGGUGAAAUUCGUAGAUAUUCGCAAGAACACCAGUGGCGAAGGCGGCUCACUGGCCCGAUACUGACGCUGAGGCACGAAAGCGUGGGGAGCAACAGG